rnacentral:lncRNA from 1 species
UUUUUCUUUUUUUUUUUUUGUCUUUUUGCCAUUUCUUGGGCCGCUCCCACGGCAUAUGGAAGUUCCCAGGCUAGGGGUCCAAUCGGAGCUGCUGCCGCCGGCCUACACCAGAGCCACAGCAACGCAGGAUCUGAGCCUCGUCUGUGACCUACACCACAGCUCACGGCAACGCUGGAUCAUUAACCCACUGAGCAAGGGCAGGGACCGAACCCACAACCUCAUGAUUCCUAGUCGGCUUCGUUAACCACUGCGCCACGACGGGAACGCCUACGUUUUUCUUUUUUAUCUCUCCCACUAAGCACUCCCAGGAAUGCAUUAGCUGUUCCUAGGAAAAAGUAAUAUCUUUGAAAUAUGGAAGACUGAAAACGAUAAAAUGUGAAAUAAUAAUGAUAAACAUAUAAACAGUAGCCUCCUGGGGGAAAAGGUACUUUCGUUGUUUUUCUAUUACCGCCAUAUAUAAGGUAUAAGCCUCAGAGAAAGGACAUGCCUAUGAUUCUGGUUAGAUAAGUUCUCUCUUUGAACACCUAUUCCAACAACUUUUGUGCUAUUAUGCCAUUUAUAGAAAUGAGGAAAAAAGCAUUGUGCAUUAAAUUAAGAUACAGCUGCAUGUGAAUUCACUUUCAGAUUGUUUUAUUCCUUUGUGGCAUAUGACAUUCUUAUCAUUAAUUACCAGAUAAAUAUUAAAUGUAUGCUUGCCUUAAGAACUACCAUAUUUAAGGUGCCUCCCAAAACUGGGCAGGGCAGUACUUUGCAUUUUUAAUUACACUUAGGGAAAAAUUUCAGGAAACCAAGUAGCAAAGAGAGGCCCAAAGACUUUAUUCCCCCUUUGCUCUCUACCACGUGCAGUACAAAUAGUCCUCAGGUCAUUAAAAUCCACAUUGCUCCUGCACUCCUUAGGAAGGAGGUUUGCUUCCAUUACUGAAGGCUCUCUGAACAGCAGAGUAAUAGACAACAGAGGAAUUGCUUCAAAAACAACCAAGGCUUUGUACAGAAAGCCCAGGUGACCCCACUGUACAGGGCAGAGGUGUACGGUGACUUUCCCCAUGGAAGAAAUUAUGACUCUUUGUGAUAGUCUAUGUUUCAGGUGUCCAACUGUAGUUCACCUUAUUUUAAGACACUGAUGGGCAGUGAAUUGCCUGGUGGCCUAGAGGGUUAAGGAUUUGGUGGUGUUGUCACUGCACUGGCACAGGUUUGAUUCCUAGCCCAGGAAUUUUCACAUGAUACAGGUGCGAGGGGGGAAAAAAAAAGACACUGACAGCCAAGUAUUAUCAUGUUCAUCAUAAAAACAUAAAAAGAAUAAGAAUAAUUUCCAAACAAAGAGAACACUUAACAACAGGUUACAAAAUACAAUGGGGUCUCCUUCAUUUUAUUCCUUUUCUACGAAACGGUCACCAACUAUUUGUUCAUUGGCUUCUCAUGAGAAGAAAAAUGCAGGGAAUCUUCUCAGGAGUGUUAUAUAACUAUAUCAAACAAGAGGAGGGAGUGUGUGUGAAAGACCCCUUAAAACAGAAUUCAGCAGAAUAGGAAGGAUGAAAAGAGAAUUAUUGAAAAGCAUAUAUUCCAAAGAUACUGUGUGAAAUGUUUUACUAAACACUUAUUUUGUACUGUCUUACAGUUUUAGGCAUACUUUAGCUCCAUUCUUGCAUUAUUUUGCUUAGUGAUGGCCCCUAAAAAAAAACAGUUUUCAGGAUUUCUGCCUUUCCUCCUCCUUGCUUUUGCAAAGCAGUUUAUCACUUACUAGCCAAGACUUAAAUGCAUCAAGGGAAGCAAUAAACAAUUUUGCAAAACAAAGCUACACUUUUUAUAAUGUGAAUCCUCACAAUUUAUGUAAUUAACAUUAAUAAGACUAAACAGAAAUGUAAUUUAUACUCAAGUCAUUUCAGAUAUCAUUACUUAAAAUUAUAGUUCAACUAUUGUACUGAAAUUAGUUAAUUAUUUCCAAAAACUCUGGAGAGCUACUGAUGGUUUGACUCUAAUAUGUGGAAGGGAAUUCCUACAGAGAGCUCAUUUUGGAUCCAAUGAAUUUCUCCUGGGAUCUUAAUAGAUAGAAAACAUAAGCUGAUUUUGUAUUUUCUUAAUUUUAUCCUGUCAUUAAAAAACAAUUAAGUUAUCUUUUUUAUGUGGAGUCCGAUAGUGUUUUCAGUGUAUGUGAGUGAGUGAGUGAAUGUGUGUUUAAGGAAAGGGUAGAGGGAAGGAGAAAAUACAUGCAUUAUAAAAACACGAGAAACAGAACACUCAUUUUCAGACUAUGGGCAAAAAGGUGAUUUUAGAAAAUAAACAAUAAGACUUUGAGCAAGUUUUAUCUUAUUUGAUUUUCUUUCUAAAGACUCCAACAUUUAUACUGUCAAAUACAAUUUUUAAGAGCUUUCCUAUAGGACUAUAGAAAAAUUUGGGAAAUAGUAUAUAUAUGUGUGUGUGUGUGUCUAUACACACACACACACACACACACACACACAUAUAUAUUAUAUAAUAUUAUUUCAAGGUAUGCAAAAAUGUUUUCAUUUUGUUAGCCUUAAAAGCACUUUAGAGCUUAUACUGGGUUUUUUUCUUUUUGAGAACUUAAGUGCAGAAAAAAAGCAUUAUAUAUAACAGAUAGCAAUUUGUAUUUAUUUAUAUUUUUUAUUGCUUUUUGGUUUUGUUUUAUUGCAAGGCUAUAAUAUUAUGAUGUCAACAAAUUAUAAUAUUAUGAUUUCAUCUGUGAAAAAAUUUAUUUUAUUAACCAAUACCAUUUAUUGCAAGACUAUAAUAUUAUGAUGUCAACAGACUAUAAUAUUAUGAUUUCAUCUGUGAAAAAAUUUAUUAAUCAAUAGCAUUUUGUAUUGUUAUAAGAAAAACUCCUUUGAAAAUAAUGGCCAAAGGAAUCUCCUUUGAAAAUAAUGGCCAAAGGUAAAAUCAUAGUAUAGUGUCCCAAAGAAAAAGAGUAAUUUCUGGUUUGAUAAAAUAUCUACCAUAUAACCCAGAAGAGCAAAUGGAUUUAGCAUCAUAGAAUAACGUCAGUAUAUUUUUGACUCUUCUUUUUUACUUUGUGGUUAAGAAAAAAAAAUAUGGAAGCUAAACAACUAAUUAUUUGAGUACUUGCUCACACACAAAUAUUGAUCGCUUUCCCCACAUUUAUUAAUAUACCAAAUAAUUGGUCAAUAUGAAUCUUAGGCCAUUGUUCUUCAUAUACAACCAGUACCCUCUGAAUCAUUAAGGAAAUAACUAUUAAACUAUUGUGGUGAUAUCCCGGUUGAGAGAAAAUGUUUAAGAAUAAGGAAGCCUGGACUUGGGUCUAGACCUCUCCUUGUAAAACCAGCUGUGUCAAGUCUUACAUACUAAACUCUGCAAGCCACACAAGUUCCAUACAUCUCAAAGUCAAACCAGUCAAAAGUCUAAUUAUAAACUCUAUGUGAAUUUCAUGGGGGAUUAGCUUAUUUUUGUGUGGUUUUUUUUUUUGGGGGGGUGGGCAUGUCUUCCAAAAUGAUCUCAUAAGAUUAUUUCUACUCUCCCUUUUUUGAGAGAGUGUGUAAGAGGACUAGCCCUGGCUACUUGGAAUGUAUUAACAGAAUUAUGCAUUUCAUCGGUAAGUCAUAAAACCCUAAGAACAUAGAGCUUUUCUUCUUCUCAAAAAGGGAAACUUUUUACCUGUUUUUCUAUCCUGGACAUACUCCCAGACCAUUUUAUCUCUGCACAGUCUUUCUUUUUUUACUCAUCGGUGAUCUCUCUUUUGAGUGUUGUUUGCUAAGUUUGAUAAUUUUUUUCUUCUGCCUAUAAAAACUUUAAGAUUUUUAUUGAGAAUAUAGAUUGAGAAAUUGAGUAGAGCAUUGAAGAUAAUCAUUUCAAUGAAUCUUACAGAGUUAUUUCAAUAAUGCAAGAUUUUCUAAUGAAUUUGAUCCCUGACUUGGAGUAAUCAUCAAAAACUACAAAAUCAGUUAAUAGCAGACUCAAAAACCUACAAGAAUUAAAAUAUGUUACAUCCAAAGAAAAAAUGAUAUAUAUGCACAAUGGAAUACUACUCAGCCAUAAAAAGGAGGAAACUUCACAAUUUGAGACAAUACAGAUGGUCCUUGAGGGUAUUAUGUUAAGGGAAAUAAGUCAGACAGUAAAAGAUGAGUACUACACAAUACAAAAAAAAAAAAAAAAAAAAAAAAACCUCACAGACACAGAGAACAGAUUGGUGGUGCCCAGAACAUGGUUUAAGGGGUGAGAAAAAUGGGUAAAGUUGGUCAAAAGGUACAAACUUCCAGUUAUAGAAUAAGUAAGUCCUAAAGAUGUAAUGUACAGCAUGGUGACUGUAACUAAUAAUACUAUAUUGUAUUUUUGAAAGUUGCUAAGGGAAUAUAUCUUAAAAGUUCUCCUCACAAGAAAAAAAUAUUUAAGGAGUUCUCCUGUGAUUAAGGAUUUGAUAUUGUCACUGCAGUGGCUUGAGUCACUGCUGUGGCACAGAUUUGAUAUCCCUGGCCCAGGAAAUUUCACAUGCUGCAGGCAUGGAAAAAAAAAAAAAAUCUGUGAAAAUCUAUAGGGGAAAAAAAUCUGAAAAGGAAUGGAUGUGUGUGUAGAUAUAUAACUGAAUCACUUUGUUGAAUGGCAGAAAUUAUGCCAUGGUAAAUCAACCAUAAUUCAAUAAAACAAAAAAAAGAAAAAAGAAAUUAUGAAUGACACCAUAAUAGUUAGCAAAUCAAAUAUGUAUCUAAUUAAAAUUUUACAAAGAAGGAAGAAAAAUUAUAGGACACAGGCAAUAUUUUUUAAAAAAAUCACUGCUAAAGAAUGAUGAAAGCCUCCAAUCCACAGAUUAAGUAAUCCACUGACUUCUAUACAGGUAAAAUAUAAAUAAACCUAUACCUACUCAUAUUGUAUUGAAAUUACAUUAGAACACCAAAACUAAUGAAAAAGAGUGAAAAUAGGCCAGGGAGAAAAGACCCUCAAGGGCGCACCAAUUGGACUGCCAGUUACAUCUCAAAAAAUAAAUAAGUAAAUAAAUAAAAUAAACAUUAAAAAAACAAGAAAUCAUAAAAUAGUGCAGUGGCAUCUUCAUUGUUGAGUGAAAAUAAUUAUCAUUCUAUUAUACCCAGCAAAAAUAUCUUUAAAUAACAAGGACACAAAGUUAAAGUAUUUCCUAAGUAAUUAAUAAAUUCAUCUCCAUGAAACCUUCACUAGAAAAUCCUAUAAAGAUUUAUUCAGGCAGGUAGACAUUCAUAUAAAAAGGAAGGUCUGAGAAGUAGAAAGAAAUGGAGUAGGGGAAGAACCCCACUAAUUCAUAAUAAUAAGGCUUUAAUUCUCCAGGAAAAUAUUCAAAUUCUGAACACAUAUGCAUAACAUGUGUCCUCAAAAUACAUAAAGCAAAAUUUGAAAAAAUUACAAAGAGAAAUAGAAAACUCUACAGUCAUGAGGGGAG